rnacentral:rRNA from 1 species
AGGUCACUGCUAUCGGUGUUCGUCUAAGCCAUGCGAGUCAUAUGUUCUUCGUGAACAUGGCGUACUGCUCAGUAACACGUGGAUAACCUGCCCUUGGGUCUGGCAUAACCCCGGGAAACUGGGGAUAAUACCGGAUAACGCAUAUCUGCUGGAAUUCUUUAUGCGUGAAAUGGAUUCGUCUGCCCAAGGAUGGGUCUGCGGCCUAUCAGGUAGUAGUGGGUGUAAUGUACCUACUAGCCGACGACGGGUACGGGUUGUGAGGGCAAGAGCCCGGAGAUGGAUUCUGAGACAUGAAUCCAGGCCCUACGGGGCGCAGCAGGCGCGAAAACUUUACAAUGCGGGAAACCGUGAUAAGGGGACACCGAGUGCCAGCAUUAUAUGUUGGCUGUCCGGGUGUGUAAAAUACACCUGUUAGCAAGGGCCGGGCAAGACCGGUGCCAGCCGCCGCGGUAACACCGGCGGCCCGGGUGGUGAUCGUGUUUAUUGGGUCUAAAGGGUCCGUAGCCGGUUUGGUCAGUCCUCCGGGAAAUCUGAUAGCUCAACUAUUAGGCUUUCGGGGGAUACUGCCAGGCUUGGAACCGGGAGAGGUAAGAGGUACUACAGGGGUAGGAGUGAAAUCUUGUAAUCCCUGUGGGACCACCUGUGGCGAAGGCGUCUUACCAGAACGGGUUCGACGGUGAGGGACGAAAGCUGGGGGCACGAACCGGAUUAGAUACCCGGGUAGUCCCAGCCGUAAACGAUGCUCGCUAGGUGUCAGGCAUGGCGCGACCGUGUCUGGUGCCGCAGGGAAGCCGUGAAGCGAGCCACCUGGGAAGUACGGCCGCAAGGCUGAAACUUAA